UACGUAGGUGGCAAGCGUUGUCCGGAAUUAUUGGGCGUAAAGCGCGCGCAGGCGGUCCUUUAAGUCUGAUGUGAAAUCCCACGGCUCAACCGUGGAAGGUCAUUGGAAACUGGGGGACUUGAGUACAGAAGAGGAGAGUGGAAUUCCUGGUGUAGCGGUGAAAUGCGCAGAUAUCAGGAAGAACACCCGUGGCUAAGGCGGCUCUCUAGUACGGUACUGACGCUGAGACGCGAAAGCGUGGGGAGCGAACAGG
rnacentral:rRNA from 1 species